GAUGAACGCUGGCGGCGUGCCUAAUACAUGCAAGUCGAGCGAACAGACGAGGAGCUUGCUCCUCUGACGUUAGCGGCGGACGGGUGAGUAACACGUGGAUAACCUACCUAUAAGACUGGGAUAACUUCGGGAAACCGGAGCUAAUACCGGAUAAUAUAUUGAACCGCAUGGUUCAAUAGUGAAAGACGGUUUUGCUGUCACUUAUAGAUGGAUCCGCGGCGCAUUAGCUAGUUGGUAAGGUAACGGCUUACCAAGGCAACGAUGCGUAGCCGACCUGAGAGGGUGAUCGGCCACACUGGAACUGAGACACGGUCCAGACUCCUACGGGAGGCAGCAGUGGGGAAUCUUCGACAAUGGGCGAAAGCCUGACGGAGCAACGCCGCGUGGGUGAUGAAGGUCUUCGGGUCGUAAAACUCUGUUAUUAGGGAAGAACAAAUGUAUAAGUAACUAUGCACGUCUUGACGGUACCUAAUCAGAAAGCCACGGCUAACUACGUG
rnacentral:rRNA from 1 species